CCUACGGGGGGCUGCAGUGAGGAAUAUUGGUCAAUGGACGAGAGUCUGAACCAGCCAAGUAGCGUGAAGGAUGACUGCCCUAUGGGUUGUAAACUUCUUUUAUAAAGGAAUAAAACGAGGCACGUGUGCCUUUUUGCAUGUACUUUAUGAAUAAGGAUCGGCUAACUCCGUGCCAGCAGCCGCGGUAAUACGGAGGAUCCGAGCGUUAUCCGGAUUUAUUGGGUUUAAAGGGAGCGUAGAUGGGUUGUUAAGUCAGUUGUGAAAGGUUGCGGCUCAACCGUAAAAUUGCAAUUGAUACUGGCAGUCUUGAGUACAGUUGAGGUAGGCGGAAUGCGUGGUGUAGCGGUGAAAUGCUUAGAUAUCACGAAGAACCCCGAUUGCGAAGGCAGCUUACUAAACUGUGACUGACAUUGAUGCUCGAAAGUGUGGGUAUCAAACAGGAUUAGAUACCCGUGUAGUC
rnacentral:rRNA from 1 species